UACGUAGGUGGCAAGCGUUGUCCGGAUUUAUUGGGCGUAAAGCGCUCGCAGGUGGUUCGUUGCGUCGUGCGUGAAAGACCCCGGCUCAACUGGGGGGUGUCGUGCGAUACGGGCGAACUGGAGGCCAGUAGGGGGAUGCGGAAUUCCGGGUGUAGUGGUGGAAUGCGUAGAGAUCCGGAGGAACACCAGCGGCGAAGGCGGCAUCCUGGACUGGUCCUGACACUCAGGAGCGAAAGCGUGGGGAGCGAUCCGG
rnacentral:rRNA from 1 species